rnacentral:rRNA from 1 species
GACGAACGCUGGCGGCGUGCUUAACACAUGCAAGUCGAACGGAAAGGCCCUGCUUGCAGGGUACUCGAGUGGCGAACGGGUGAGUAACACGUGGGUGAUCUGCCCUGCACUUCGGGAUAAGCCUGGGAAACUGGGUCUAAUACCGGAUAGGAGCCAUUUUUAGUGUGAUGGUUGGAAAGUUUUUUCGGUGUAGGAUGAGCUCGCGGCCUAUCAGCUUGUUCGUGGGGUAAUGGCCUACCAAGGCGGCGACGGGUAGCCGGCCUGAGAGGGUGGACGGCCACAUUGGGACUGAGAUACGGCCCAGACUCCUACGGGAGGCAGCAGUGGGGAAUAUUGCACAAUGGGCGCAAGCCUGAUGCAGCGACGCCGCGUGGGGGAUGACGGCCUUCGGGUUGUAAACUCCUUUCGCUAGGGACGAAGCUUUUGUGACGGUACCUAGAGAAGAAGCACCGGCUAACUACGUG